UUCCCGCUUCUAUCUUUUGGCUCGCUGUCUCCUUUUCCCGCUACUCAUUCCAGCCCUAAUCUUCCCACCAAAGAAAUCGACCAGCCAAUGAGUAGGCGACGACGAAGAUAGAGGCCAGAAGCUGUGUUCCAGACGGUGGUUUCGGGCGGCGCUUCAAACUGUGAAACCGGCCCUCGCUUUUUUGCGCCUGGCGCAUUUGAUAACUAUGGUUUGACUGAAUCCCAAACGGAAUUGAACGUUGGAGUUUGAUCUUGAUAAGGAGGACGGCGUGGACCAUUUUUUUUUGUGUGUUCUUGGACCGACCCGAAAUUCGUUCUGAUCCGGACCCGUUUCAACCAGAACUUAUGUCCAAGAUCUCUAUUUAUUUCUAUUAUUUCUAUUUGUUUAUUUCUGUUAUUUAUGGUUCCAAUAAUUAUUGGUUGUUUACUCUUGGUGAUCUAGUGAUUGGAAGAUCGGGAAGCUUUACAAAUAAGCCAAUUUGCAUCAUCUAGUCGAGACUUAUAAGACCAACAAGUCACUUUAAGCCAUACAUGUUUGAUAAUGGUGGCGGCGACGAAGGUGAUGACGAUGGUGUUGGCGUAGGUGACGAUGGUGUUGGCGAUGGGAGGCAAUUUAUACAAUGCAACGAAACCAGGUUUACAGACAAAACGGUAAAAAAAUGUGUGAAGGAUAUAUUUAACCAAUGUUAUGAUGGAGAUUGGGUCACAUUUAAAAAAGAUCCCACAAAACCCGGGAGAGCAAACCACAAAAAUGACUUGUGCCGUCGUACAGGCGGGUCAAUACGAUUUGAUCAAUAUCGUAUCAACUUGGACAAAGAAGAGGGUAAAACAGUUUGAUACAAGAAAGUAUUGUUACAGACCCACACCACUAAGAGGUGCAAAAAAAUGUUACAAGAUGGGGAGAUAAGUGAAAAUGAUUUUGAGUCGUUGGAGUUUGUUACCGGCCGUGCAAAGCGUUCAUAUCUUCAAAAAGUUUAGGCGGAACUAGAAAGAGAGCGUGAGGCCCGAUAAAGCAUAGAAGCCCGUUUCGAACUAUUUCAACAAGAGCGUGAAAAAUAGCGGGCCGACCAAGACGCAUGGCGAAAAAAUAUGGAAGAAAUGGUGAAAAACAUCGAAAAGAAGUAAACAAAGCUCUCGUCGUGUUAAGUAUUGGAAUGUUGGAUUAGUUUUGAAUCAAAAAACUUGCUCUUAAUUAGGAUUUUUUGUGUAUUUUGGAAUGUUUCGGAACUUUUGGAAUGUUUUAGAAUCUUGCUUGUUGCAAUUUAGAAUGUUUUAUAA